rnacentral:rRNA from 1 species
UACGGAGGGAGCUAGCGUUGUUCGGAAUUACUGGGCGUAAAGCGCGCGUAGGCGGAUCUGCAAGUCGGGGGUGAAAUCCCGAGGCUCAACCUCGGAACUGCCUUCGAUACUGCGGGUCUCGAGUCCGGGAGAGGUGAGUGGAACUGCGAGUGUAGAGGUGAAAUUCGUAGAUAUUCGCAAGAACACCAGUGGCGAAGGCGGCUCACUGGCCCGGUACUGACGCUGAGGUGCGAAAGCGUGGGGAGCAAACAGG